CUUUUUUAAUAUUAUUUUCCUCAUUAUUUAUAUUUUCUUGUCGGAAGUCAAUUACUUUCGUUUUUAUUAUUUCAAUUUUUGUUUAUGCGCAUAUCAAAGAACUUUUGUGCAUAUGUAUGUAUUAUAUAUACAUUUUGCUUAUAGAGUGGUGUAGUUCGUUGCAUAAAUUGAUAAUUGUGGUGACAUUUUAUUUUCGAACUUGCGCGUUUUCGAUGUUCCCUCAUCGUAAUUAACAUUUUAGAACAGCUAACAUUUGCUCCUUCUCUAUUCAUUAACAUUCUCUGUCGUUACCAUUUCCUGCAGCGCAUAUUCGCAUGUUCGUUGCAUACCCAUACAUUAGUAUAACUUGGUUUUAUAAAUUUUUUGCGAUAAAAUUAACUGAUCACUUAUUGCUUAAAUACUCACUAGAAAUAGAACUAUUGUUACUUAAAAUAAUUUUGAAGGCUCUAUAAAGCAUAUACAAGAUUCUGUUCUGCAAUGUCUUUGGAAGAGCUAAGACAACAACGCGCGAGCACCAAGAAAAAUAUUACGUGCAUUAAAAAUAUCGUCGAUGCCAGCUUGCGACCAGGUGGAAAGGCUUUUUCAGCUUCGAAAUACAAGUGUCGUUUGGGCAUCCUGAUGUCCUAUUUUAAGUAGAUUCUUUUAAAUCAAACUGAUAUCGAAAGAUUGGAUGAUGAUGAUGGAGCACGUGCUGACCUGGAAGAACUUGACAUCACAACUAAAUUGAUUAUGCAAUCGCAACUGGCAGAAGAUAGCCUUAGAAUUUGUAAAUGCGUUUCAAGUGACAAAUGAAAACUUUCCGAAGGCGUAGAACGAUUGAGGGUACGGUAUGACAACAAAACACUAAUUUUUUUGGAAGGAAUAGAUUCGUUAUUUGAUAUACCAGCAGUUAUGAAACCAAAUGGCAUUCAGCUAAGAAGUUUAAUUUAUAGGGCUUCAGCUAUUUAUGAUUCCUUGAUGUUGCUAGGUACCAACAGCCAAAUAUCGCAAGCUAUGCUCAUUCAUUUAAUUUUGCAGAAGUCUAAUGAACAGACGAACAAAAGGCGGAAGUCGCUAGACUUCAGAACGCCGCCGUCAUGGGAGAAUUGCAACGCAGUUUUAGAAAGAAAGAGAAGAAUCUCUCCAAGAAAUAAACAAAACAUACAAAUUCAAAGCAUCGGUUCAUCGUCAACAAAUAUAAAUUCAUAACCCCAACUAACAUCAAGUUGCAAGUCACUGGUUUCGAAGUUCCAUUGACUUUUUGUAUUACAUCGCACAUUGCUUAUCAACCCGAUCUUGAAAUCAAUAUUUCAACAUGGAAUAUUCCACACAAUAUAGCGCUCGCUGAUGAUGAAUUUUAUUUACCAAAGAAAAUCGACAUGUUGGUGGGUACAGAAAAGUUCUUCAGUCUUCUAUCUGUAUAUCAAAUCAAUCUUGGAUCUAAUUUACCCAUCUUGCGAAAAACGCUCUUAGGCUGGAUUGUUUCGGGACGCUAUAAGACGAGCAGUAACAACAUAUCUAAACCAUAUUGUUUAUUUUUAACCAAUGCAUCUUUAGAUGCCAAAUUGAAAAAGUUGUGAAAAUUGGAAGAAGUCACUACCAUACCAGAGGCUUGGAUUCGUGAACAACAGAGUUGCGAUCACAUAUACAAAUCAACAGUUUCAAGAAGAUCUUGCGGAAGAAUAGUUGUCAAAUUACGCUUCAAGGAUGAUUCGAAGUGCUUGGGCGAGUCAUAUACUACGGCAUUGAGACGAUUCAAUGCACAAGAACGUCGAUUAGCCAAGUCACCACAAUUAAAAGUCCAAUACGUCGAAUUUAUGAGUGACUACGAGAGUUUAGGUCAUAUGAGCGUUGUAAAAAAUCCAAAUCUCAGCGAACCGCAUUUUUUUAUACCACAUCAUUGUGUGCUUGAACCAACAAAGCUACGAGUCGUAUUCGUCGAACCACAUCCCAAAAAUAAUUAAACGAUAUUCAGAUGGUCGGCCCUAUAAUUCAAUGCGAAUUUUUUCUUCUUCUUCUUCUUUGUUUUCGAUUCCAUAGGUUUGCACUCACUGCCGACAUAGUCCAGAUGUAUCGCCAAGUAUUAAUGAUGAAAAUGAUCGAAAGUUCCAGUUCAUUUUGUGGAGAAGUUCACCGACUGAAGAUAUUCAUACGUAUCAACUAAAUACUGUAACGUAUGAAAUGGCGGCUGCACCAUAUCUUGCUAUAUGGAGUUUUUUCUUCUUCUUCUUCGUUUUCGAUUCCAUAGGUUUGCAAUCACUGCCGACAUAGUCAAGAUGCAUCGUCAAGUUCACCGACUGAAGAUAUUCAUACGUAUCAACUAAAUGUUGUAACGUAUGGAAUGGCUGCUGCACCUUGCUAUUAGUUGGUUCUAUCUAGCUGAGCAGCAUUGAGAACAAUUUACGAUUGACGAAAAAAUCAUGAAGUCAUUAUUCUACGUAGACGACAUACUCUUUGGUGCUGAUACUCUAACCGUACUUGUACAGAUAAAGGAUAUCUCUUGCUUUAUCUACAACUGCUAGAAUUAGGACAGUUUUAAUUAACAAAGUGGCAUUCCAAUCAUCAUCAAUUCAGAGAAGACGACUCUGUAAAGGAUUUAAACGUAGAUACAUCCAUCACUAGUACACUUGGACUAAAAUAGAAUCAAAAACUCUCUUCUUUUCAUUUGAAGCAAAACUAGCACUGACAGGGGUGUUGUAGGAUCUGAUAGUUGUCGGAAUCAGAAUUGAAACCGAUAAAAAAAUAUAGUAGGUGAAAUUAUAUCGACUUUGGGUAUCACGAACACCAAUUUUAUCGGUUUUGUUAUCAGAAACAAAGCAAGAGGAUUUUUGCUGACACAUUUGAAAUCCUUAUUCAAAUGGAUCCUAACGGGUUUCUGUGCAAUGUUUAGAUCCUGGACAAUCGUAAUCGAUGUUUGGACUCGACGAUUUCCAUUAUUUGAUCGAUUUUUUCGAUAAUUGGUCUUCUAGAGCGUGGUGCAUCUUUGACAUCGAAAUUACCGGAACGGAAUCGAUGAAACCGAAAUUGCGCAUAAUUGACUGUUAUCAGGACCAUAAACGCUAUUCACAUUUUCAGCACCUUGGCUUGCGUUUUCGCCCUUAUCGAUGAAAAACUAUAAAAUAUAGCUAUUUUCUCUUUGCUCAAAACUGAAUCAAGCAAUCACAAAACUGUUAAAAAAGCUUUUUUAGCACGAAAUGUCAUCCUUCGAACACCAUCUAGCCAAACCCAAUCGGACGCAAGAUACAUAUAAAUAACGCCAUCUAUUGGAAGAAUAAUUUGUUUUUACUACACCUAAUAUAUUUAACCACGGUGUAUAAGAAAAUUGCUUAAAAUUACAGCGCUCAGGCGGCAAACCAUCGAAGCUUAGUAGAUGCGACCAAUUAAAGAUACUUAAUAAGAUGAAGAAUAAUUAAUGAUUAAUUGGAAGAUGCAUAUGGAAAGGCAUGUGCCACGACAUAUAAACUUAUCCACUUCACAAGUCAAUAAGCCACGACAGUUUUUAUAUUUUGGGACAAGACUAAAAUUAUAAUUAUUACCACUAUGGAUCAAAUAAGGUUUGGGGAAAACCGAGCAGGCUGUACCUACCUGUUAACCAAAAAAACAAAUAUUUGUUGUGCAAUUAAAAUCCUGCCAGGGAUCUAUCUCAACGUUAACUCUUUUGUUAAUUCGUGAAAAACUUAAUUUAUUUGUUUAUAGUGAAAAAUUUUUUUGAAAUAAAUAGAAUAAUGUUACGGGAAAAUAUUUUGGUAAUUUUUAAAUAAAUACUUUAAUCUAUUGACAACAUAAUUAAUAAGUAAGUGAAUGAUUAAGAAGGAUUGAGAUUGCGAUGUACCCAGCAGUAGUUUCUUUUAUUAUACAUAAAUAUAUACAUAUAGAUAUAUUAAUAAUA